rnacentral:sRNA from 1 species
UAAUGAUAUGAACUAUCCUUACCCAUAUCCUUGAUUUUAUCCGCAACAAAAACAAGAAGAUAGUUCAAACCAAAUUCGCCAUCUUUUUGAACAACAGUUGCAAUUUAUGCAACAGCGUUACGAAAACGAAUUAACUGAGUUGCGUCGCCAACGUGCUUUAUUGGAAAAAAAACUAGACCAAAUUCAACUCGAAUCACAGUUAAGCGCGAAGAAGAACGACUUUGAAAAGGUUGAGCAAAUGAUGCAAAAGUUGUUGGAAAAAACUGAGCAAAAACUCAGUGCCUUUGACCAAAAAAUUAAUGCUUUGGCAGAACAGAUUAACACACAAAAAGCAGAGCACGCUGACAGUGAAAAGCAACAGUUGUUACUAAGGAUUGAACAGUUAGAAAAGCAAAACCUAGCUCAAGCUGUUCAAACACCCCAACCAGUACAACCAGUGGUACAAGCACCAGCUGUAGUACCCCAAGUGAUCCAACCACAGGUAGUGCAGUCCCAACCAGCUU